rnacentral:pre_miRNA from 1 species
AGUGUAAUUGCUGGAUUGUAUGGUGAGACUACGCUUAGCUUGUAAGAAACUGCUAGACUGUUUUCCAAAGUGGCUGUACCAUUUUGCACUUCUACCAGCAAU